rnacentral:rRNA from 1 species
UACGUAGGACGCAAGCGUUGUCCGGAAUUAUUGGGCGUAAAGAGCUCGUAGGUGGCGUGUCGCGUCUGCCGUGAAAGCCCAUGGCUUAACUGUGGGUCUGCGGUGGAUACGGGCAGGCUGGAGGCUGGUAGGGGCAAGCGGAAUUCCUGGUGUAGCGGUGAAAUGCGCAGAUAUCAGGAGGAACACCGGUGGCGAAGGCGGCUUGCUGGGCCAGUUCUGACGCUGAGGAGCGAAAGCGUGGGGAGCGAACAGG